rnacentral:tRNA from 1 species
GCAACAAUAGCUUAAAUUAGAGCAACGGUCUUGUAAGCCGAAGGUAAAAAAUAUAUUUUUGUUGCU